rnacentral:RNase_P_RNA from 1 species
GCAGUGUUUCGUUCUGCCGCUGGCGACAUUUCGCGUCGCGAGAGGAAAGUCCGGGCAGCGCAGGGAGCUCCACUUCUGAAAAUGGAAGCUGCUGGCGACAGUGGGUUAAGGCAGAAGAAAACGACCGCCCCAACGACGGCGACACCAUGUGUUGCUGCAUGGGGUAAGGGUGAGAAGGUGUGUGUAAGAGACCACCAGCCAAUGGGUGAUCAUUGGGCUGUGCCUGCUGGAGGCUGCAAGUUCAUGUAAACCGUCGACAGAGGGUGCCCGCCCGAAUUGCGGAGCUGUAUGGCUGUGCAUGCGACGGAGGGUAGAACGCUUGAGUUGCAGGGCGACUUGCAACCUAGAUAAAUGGCAGAUGCCGGCUUUGCCGAGAGGCUUUGUCGGAACAGAACCCGGCUUACAGAGACACUGCUUUC